CCUUAGCUCAGUUGGUUAGAGCACCUGACUCAUAAUCAGGUGGUCGCUGGUUCGAGCCCAGCAGG
rnacentral:tRNA from 1 species